GUGCCAGCCGCCGCGGUAAUACGGAGGGUGCAAGCAUUAAUCGGAUUUAUUGGGCGUAAAGGGCGCGUAGGCGGGAGAAUAAGUCAGAUGUGAAAUCCCGGGGCUCAACCCCGGAACUGCAUUUGAAACUGUUUUUCUUGAGGGUAGAGGGAGAAAAUGGAAUUCCACAAGUAGCGGUGAAAUGCGUAGAUAUGUGGAGGAACACCAGUGGCGAAGGCGAUUUUCUACUUUAUUCCUGACGCUAAAGCGCGAAAGCAAGGGGAUCAAACAGGAUUAGAUACCCUGGUAGUCCUUGCCGUAAACGAUGUAUACUUGGUGUAACCGGACUCAACCCUGGUUGUGCCGUAGCGAACGCGUUAAGUAUACCGCCUGGGGAGUACAGUCGCAAGGCUGAA
rnacentral:rRNA from 1 species